rnacentral:rRNA from 1 species
GAUUGAACGCUGGCGGCAUGCUUUACACAUGCAAGUCGAACGGCAGCGCGGGCUUCGGCCUGGCGGCGAGUGGCGAACGGGUGAGUAAUGCAUCGGAACGUGCCCAGUAGUGGGGGAUAGCCCGGCGAAAGCCGGAUUAAUACCGCAUACGACCUGAGGGUGAAAGCGGGGGACCGAAAGGCCUCGCGCUAUUGGAGCGGCCGAUGUCGGAUUAGCUAGUUGGUGGGGUAAAGGCUUACCAAGGCGACGAUCCGUAGCUGGUCUGAGAGGACGACCAGCCACACUGGGACUGAGACACGGCCCAGACUCCUACGGGAGGCAGCAGUGGGGAAUUUUGGACAAUGGGGGCAACCCUGAUCCAGCCAUGCCGCGUGCGGGAAGAAGGCCUUCGGGUUGUAAACCGCUUUUGUUCGGGAAGAAAUCCUCUGGGCUAAUACCCCGGGGGGAUGACGGUACCGGAAGAAUAAGCACCGGCUAACUACGUG